rnacentral:rRNA from 1 species
AUUGAACGCUGGCGGCAGGCCUAACACAUGCAAGUCGAGCGGAUGAAGGGAGCUUGCUCCUGGAUUCAGCGGCGGACGGGUGAGUAAUGCCUAGGAAUCUGCCUGGUAGUGGGGGAUAACGUCCGGAAACGGGCGCUAAUACCGCAUACGUCCUGAGGGAGAAAGUGGGGGAUCUUCGGACCUCACGCUAUUAGAUGAGCCUAGGUCGGAUUAGCUAGUUGGUGGGGUAAAGGCCUACCAAGGCGACGAUCCGUAACUGGUCUGAGAGGAUGAUCAGUCACACUGGAACUGAGACACGGUCCAGACUCCUACGGGAGGCAGCAGUGGGGAAUAUUGGACAAUGGGCGAAAGCCUGAUCCAGCCAUGCCGCGUGUGUGAAGAAGGUCUUCGGAUUGUAAAGCACUUUAAGUUGGGAGGAAGGGCAGUAAGUUAAUACCUUGCUGUUUUGACGUUACCAACAGAAUAAGCACCGGCUAACUUCGUGC